UGGGGAAUAUUGGACAAUGGGCGCAAGCCUGAUCCAGCCAUGCCGCGUGAGUGAUGAAGGCCCUAGGGUUGUAAAGCUCUUUUGGCGGGGACACGGCGACCGCGAAUAACGGUUGUUAAUGAUGGUACCCGAAGAAGAAGCACCGGCUAACUAC
rnacentral:rRNA from 1 species